AUUGAACGCUGGCGGCAUGCUUUACACAUGCAAGUCGAACGGUAACAGGGAGCUUGCUCCGCUGACGAGUGGCGAACGGGUGAGUAAUGCAUCGGAACGUGCCGUGUAAUGGGGGAUAACGUAGCGAAAGUUACGCUAAUACCGCAUACGCCCUGAGGGGGAAAGUGGGGGACCGCAAGGCCUCACGUUAUACGAGCGGCCGAUGUCGGAUUAGCUAGUUGGUGGGGUAAAGGCCUACCAAGGCGACGAUCCGUAGCGGGUCUGAGAGGAUGAUCCGCCACACUGGGACUGAGACACGGCCCAGACUCCUACGGGAGGCAGCAGUGGGGAAUUUUGGACAAUGGGGGCAACCCUGAUCCAGCCAUGCCGCGUGAGUGAAGAAGGCCUCGGUUGUAAAGCGUCUUUACCAGGGAGUGAUAAUAGACAGUAACCUGGAGAAGUAAGACUCCGGCUAACUCCGUGCCA
rnacentral:rRNA from 1 species